AUGGCAUUUUAGUCAGUACUGAAAGUGAUGGGAGCAGCAAGAAGGAAAAUGAAGGUAUCAUUUGACAGAGAAAGGCAAGGACAUUGCCUUUGUGUUAGAGGUGUCUUGCCCUGCCUGGAAUAUACAUUUACAACAAUAAAAGAAGGCCGAAGCACUUCUCCUGCAUCCUAAGCUGAGCUCUGCCUUUCAUUUUAAGGUGAAUCUCUGGGCUUUUGCUGAAACAGAAAUGGCAGAAGGGUAUUUUCAAAGCACGUACCAAACAAUUCCCACCCAUGGUGUCAUUAAAGGCUAUUCUUCCUGGAAGAGCUGAAGUUGCGAUAGAGACCCUGAGAAAUUGACCAGUCAUACUCAGAAGUAUGAAGAGAAUGUAGCUAGAGGAAGUAGUGGUUGGCACCUUCCUCUUAGGAAAAUGGGGGGAAAAGCCAGCAGCACACUGGAUUACAGAAUUUUAUGGUGGAUACCUAGCUUGAUGACUGUCUUUGUAAGAACCUGGGGACAGGAGUAGGAGAAUAUCCAACGUGUAUCACUUGGGAAAUUACUGCAAGGUGAAACAGGAAGCUGCCUGAUAUGGCUGAUCAAAAAUAACAUCAGGACCUUAACUCUGUCUUGAGCUCUUGGUGGACUGGCAGUUAGUCAGGAUCAUGCAUCCGUUUAGACUGAAAAAGGUGCAGCCCAGAUGCUCAAGCUGCCUCUGCGGUGGAUAUUUGCAACACUGGGACACGUGCAAUAUUUUGGAUACCAGUUGUCUUGAGUGCUCUAGUCAGAAGUGUACUAAUCUCUGAUAUAUCAUUUAAAUGCAUCCUGUACAGAGUGUUUGAGCGCCAUUGUAGAGAGGUGACCUAAGUUAUUUAAACACUUGCUGGAAAUCCCUAGAGAUUAUUUAAUAGACAUAGUAACAUCACCAUGAUAUGAAUGGAGGCAUGUAGUUACCAUUAAUAAUAAUGAUCAUUGUAUCCUGUAAGCUAAUGGAAACUUCUUGACUCAUCUCUGAGGAAUGAAUGCCAUGUCUCAUAAUGUUCUGUAUUAUAAAGCUAGCCCCAAUGUUAUUUCAACCUAUUACCAAACUCGAAUGAAUUCCACUAUAAAUAUCUUCUGUACAACAUAUUUCUGGGUAUGACAUGCAAAUUGUGUGCCUCCUCUGGGUAGUCAGGAAGGGGGAGUACUAUGUGCAGUAUAUCUCAGAUGCAAGGCACAACAGAAAUUUUCUUGUGAACAAAAUGCAGAGCAAACAAAAAUACCCGUGAUGUCCUCACAUGCAAACUGUCAUUCUUUCAAAUGAGAGCACUUUCUUGCUUUGGUAAUGAGAAUAAUAAAAAUAGGUGUUAAUGCA